rnacentral:rRNA from 1 species
AUUGAACGCUGGCGGCAUGCUUUACACAUGCAAGUCGAACGGUAACAGGCCUUCGGGUGCUGACGAGUGGCGAACGGGUGAGUAAUGCAUCGGAACGUACCCAGAGGUGGGGGAUAACGCAGCGAAAGCUGUGCUAAUACCGCAUGUGAUCUGAGGAUGAAAGCGGGGGACCGAGCAGCAAUGUUUGGCCUCGCGCCUUUGGAGCGGCCGAUGUCGGAUUAGCUAGUUGGUGGGGUAAAGGCCUACCAAGGCGACGAUCCGUAGCUGGUGUGAGAGGGCGACCAGCCACACUGGGACUGAGACACGGCCCAGACUCCUACGGGAGGCAGCAGUGGGGAAUUUUGGACAAUGGGCGAAAGCCUGAUCCAGCAAUGCCGCGUGCGGGAAGAAGGCCUUCGGGUUGUAAACCGCUUUUGGCAGGAACGAAACGGUGUCCGCUAAUACCGGGCGCUAAUGACGGUACCUGCAGAAUAAGCACCGGCUAACUACGUG